rnacentral:rRNA from 1 species
UACGGAGGGUGCAAGCGUUAUCCGGAUUCACUGGGUUUAAAGGGUGCGUAGGCGGACACUUAAGUCCGUGGUGAAAUCUCUGGGCUUAACCCAGAAACUGCCAUGGAUACUAUUUGUCUUGAAUGUUGUGGAGGUUAGCGGAAUAUGUCAUGUAGCGGUGAAAUGCAUAGAUAUGACAUAGAACACCGAUUGCGAAGGCAGCUGGCUGGACAAAUAUUGACGCUGAGGCACGAAAGCGUGGGGAGCAAACAGG